rnacentral:lncRNA from 1 species
UGAUGGCCCCCAUUUCCCAAAUGCCUACUAUAUUUCAGGAUUUCUCAGCAAGGACUGGUAGAACUUGACUUGACUGCCAGCUUUUAUCUGCAGGACCGGACUUCACAAAGCAGGGUGAAAGAAUUUGCAUGAUCUCCAUGGUGGCUAAUCAUAUAAUUUCCAGUUUCAGCAGCUGGCACCAGCUAUUUGCUCCCCCGCUACCCAAGCAAUUCUAGUAACUGUGAGAUAUCCUAUGAAUCACAGAACAAAUGCCCAACUCCUUUCUACAGUCACGGGGUCAGAGUACACAGCCAACCCACUAGCAGAGCUGGAGUUAUGGUUUGAGCCAAAGUACAACAAGGAAGGAGGAAGCCCCAACCUACCCCGGACAUGCCCUGAAUGACACAGCCAUUUAGGGCCUGCCAAAGAUGCCAUUCUGUUUGCAAACACAUAUUACCUGCCAUAUCACUCAACAAAAUAAUUCCAUCAGAAGGCCUGAAGGCAAAUGACUAAUGUUAAAAGUGGCCCAUGCAUCAUUUCAGUGACAACUCCACAGGCGCCAAUUAAACAUGGAAAAGACCUGUUCUGAAGCAUGCCCAUCUGGCAUUUCCCAAGGAACUGUAGUCAAUGGCUGAUAAAACAUACAUGAUCAUAACUAUAAAGAAAUUUCGCAGCCCUCUCCUUGCUCAAAAGCAACCGGGGCCUAUGAGGACAAUGAACCUGGAAGACACCCAAAAGAGGAGGUGAGUAAAGAAAAGCCUGCAUUUGAAGCCACCACUGCUCUUCCUCAUGCACAGAAAGCAAAGAUCGGGAGUUGCAUGAGGUCAGAUUUUCAGCCACCAAAAACAAACAAACAAAAAAACCAACCAAACCUCAAAAAAAACCCAGACGGGUCUAGGGAAUACUUGGGAGUUUGUCUGGUAGUCUGUGGGUGAACUUCAAUUGUUAUGUCUCCGAGUGAAAUAAAGGAUUGGCAGUAGUCC